GGCUGGUUAGUGUAGCGGUUAUCACUCUCGGUUCUGAUAAUAUCGGACUUUCCGAGCAACUCCGGUUCGAAUCCGGAAUCGGCCU